rnacentral:rRNA from 1 species
AACGAACGCUGGCGGCAUGCCUAACACAUGCAAGUCGAACGAGACCUUCGGGUCUAGUGGCGCACGGGUGCGUAACGCGUGGGAACCUGAACUUAGGUUCGGAAUAACUCCCCGAAAGGGGUGCUAAUACCGGAUAAUGUCUUAGGACCCAAGAUUUAUCGCCUUUGGAUGGGCCCGCGUUGGAUAAGCUCGUGGGUAGGGUAAAAGCCUACCAAGGCGACGAUCCAUAGCUGGUCUGAGAGGAUGGUCAGCCACACUUGGACUGAGACGCGGCCCAGACUCCUACGGGAGGCAGCAGUGGGGAAUAUUGGACAAUGGGCGAAAUCCUGAUCCAGCAAUGCCGCGUGAGUGAUGAAGGCCUUAGGGUUGUAAAGCUCUUUUACCCGGGAUGAUAAUGACGGUACCGGGAGAAUAAGCUCCGGCUAACUCCGUG